UACGGGGGGGGGCAAGCGUUGUUCGGAAUUACUGGGCGUAAAGGGCUCGUAGGCGGCCAACUAAGUCAGACGUGAAAUCCCUCGGCUUAACCGGGGAACUGCGUCUGAUACUGGAUGGCUAGAGGUUGGGAGAGGGAUGCGGAAUUCCAGGUGUAGCGGUGAAAUGCGUAGAUAUCUGGAGGAACACCGGUGGCGAAGGCGGAUCUCUGGGCCAUUACUGACGCUGAGGAGCGAAAGCGUGGGGAGCGAACAGG
rnacentral:rRNA from 1 species